GAUGAACGCUGGCGGCGUGCUUAACACAUGCAAGUCGAACGAAGCACUUUAUUUGAUUUCCUUCGGGACUGAUUAUUUUGUGACUGAGUGGCGGACGGGUGAGUAACGCGUGGGUAACCUGCCUUGUACAGGGGGAUAACAGUUGGAAACGGCUGCUAAUACCGCAUAAGCGCACGGCAUCGCAUGAUGCAGUGUGAAAAACUCCGGUGGUAUAAGAUGGACCCGCGUUGGAUUAGCUAGUUGGUGAGGUAACGGCCCACCAAGGCGACGAUCCAUAGCCGACCUGAGAGGGUGACCGGACACAUUGGGACUGAGACACGGCCCAAACUCCUACGGGAGGCAGCAGUGGGGAAUAUUGCACAAUGGGCGAAAGCAUGAUGCAGCGACGCCGCGUGAGCGAAGAAGUAUUUCGGUAUGUAAAGCUCUAUCAGCAGGGAAGAUAAUGACGGUACCUGACUAAGAAGCACCGGCUAAAUACGUG
rnacentral:rRNA from 1 species